rnacentral:rRNA from 1 species
GAUGAACGCUGGCGGCGUGCCUAAUACAUGCAAGUCGAGCGAACGGACGAGAAGCUUGCUUCUCUGAUGUUAGCGGCGGACGGGUGAGUAACACGUGGAUAACCUACCUAUAAGACUGGGAUAACUUCGGGAAACCGGAGCUAAUACCGGAUAAUAUUUUGAACCGCAUGGUUCAAAAGUGAAAGACGGUCUUGCUGUCACUUAUAGAUGGAUCCGCGCUGCAUUAGCUAGUUGGUAAGGUAACGGCUUACCAAGGCAACGAUGCAUAGCCGACCUGAGAGAGUGAUCGGCCACACAGGAACUGAGACACGGUCCAGGCUCCUACGGGAGGCAGCAGUAGGGAAUCUUCCGCAAUGGGCGAAAGCCUGACGGAGCAACGCCGCGUGAGUGAUGAAGGUCUUCGGAUCGUAAAACUCUGUUAUUAGGGAAGAACAUAUGUGUAAGUAACUGUGCACAUCUUGACGGUACCUAAUCAGAAAGCCACGGCUAACUACGUG